rnacentral:snRNA from 8 species
AUCGCUUCUCGGCCUUUUGGCUCAGAUCAAGUGUAGUAUCUGUUCUUAUCAGUUUAAUAUCUGAUACGUCCCCCAUCGGGGGACUACAUAUUAAAUGGAUUUUUCGAACAGGGAGUCGGAAAUGGGGCUUGCUCCGUCCGCUCCACGCAUCGACCCGGUAUUGCAGUACCUCCGGAA